AACGAACGCUGGCGGCAGGCCUAGCACAUGCAAGUCGAGCGAGAUCUUCGGGUCUAGCGGCGGACGGGUGAGUAACGCGUGGGAAUAUGCCUCUUGGUACGGAAUAGCCUCGGGAAACUGGGAGUAAUACCGUAUGUGCCCUUUGGGGGAAAGAUUUAUCGCCAAGAGAUUAGCCCGCGUUGGAUUAGGUAGUUGGUGGGGUAAUGGCCUACCAAGCCGACGAUCCAUAGCUGGUUUGAGAGGAUGAUCAGCCACACUGGGACUGAGACACGGCCCAGACUCCUACGGGAGGCAGCAGUGGGGAAUCUUAGACAAUGGGGGCAACCCUGAUCUAGCCAUGCCGCGUGAGUGAUGAAGGCCUUAGGGUUGUAAAGCUCUUUCAGCUGGGAAGAUAAUGACGGUACCAGCAGAAGAAGCCCCGGCUAACUCCGUG
rnacentral:rRNA from 1 species